GUCUUCUGCUCAAAAAAGGAAAAGAGAAAAAAUAAAAAUGUUAAGUGUACAUGGAAGGCAUGACCGAAAAUAGAUCGUAGUAAAUGAGAAAAAUCAAUCUGUUGGUCCCAGUAAAGAUGUUGUGACAAAAUUGGGCAGUUUCUUUGGCACAUUGGCAAGGAAUGCGAAUCUUUGUCCUCUUGAUAUAUAUGAUUGGAGGAAAAUGGACACAAAAGACGAUUUGUAGGAAUAUACCAAGGAGAAGUAUGAUAUCCCUGACACUGCAAAAAAAUGGGUUUUGGAUGGAAUUCAAGCUGAUUGGAGAAGACACAAGAGUAAUUUGAAAAAAAAGUACUUUGAAGCCUACGACAAUGAUGAAAUUCGAAUGCAAAAUAGGCCUGAAUAUAUUCCAACAUCUCAAUUUAAGGAUCUCCUCAAAUAUUAGAACUCCCGAAAAAGUCCAGGUGAACCAAAUAAUCAAGGGGGAGAUGAAAGCAGUGAAGACCUUACCUAAAAGUAUUGAUUGAAGAAUCUUCAGACAAUCUAGGAAUGUUUUUAUUUUUGAACUAUUUUGCAAACUUAUGUAUUCCAACUCUUGGAUUAUUAAACACUUAUUUUUGAACAUUUUCA